rnacentral:rRNA from 1 species
CCUACGGGCGGCAGCAGUGGGGAAUAUUGGACAAUGGGCGAAAGCCUGAUCCAGCCAUGCCGCGUGUGUGAAGAAGGCCUUCGGGUUGUAAAGCACUUUCAGUGGGGAAGAAAGCCUUGGGGCUAAUACCCUCGAGGAAGGACAUCACCCACAGAAGAAGCACCGGCUAACUCCGUGCCAGCAGCCGCGGUAAUACGGAGGGUGCGAGCGUUAAUCGGAAUUACUGGGCGUAAAGCGCGCGUAGGCGGUCUGAUAAGCCGGUUGUGAAAGCCCCGGGCUCAACCUGGGAACGGCAUCCGGAACUGUCAGGCUAGAGUGCAGGAGAGGAAGGUAGAAUUCCCGGUGUAGAGGUGAAAUGCGUAGAGAUCGGGAGGAAUACCAGUGGCGAAGGCGGCCUUCUGGACUGACACUGACGCUGAGGUGCGAAAGCGUGGGUAGCAAACAGGAUUAGAUACCCUUAGUC